rnacentral:tRNA from 1 species
GCGAUGGUAGUCUAGCCGGUAGGACACGACCUUGCCAAGGUUGAGAUUUGCGCUGUAUUGCAGCGCAUCCGACAUACCCGGGUUCGAAUCCCGGCCGUCGCA